rnacentral:rRNA from 1 species
AAGUCGUAACAAGGUUCCCUUCUGCAGCGUAGCUCCGGAGACCUUGCACCCCUAACGGGAGGUAGCACGACCAUAAAUAAAGCUCGCCGCGUGCAAGUUGGCCGUAUAGUCAGCAACACAAUCGAAUUGACGGGGACCUCCUAAAGCCUGCAACACCAACCGCUCGGGGAAACUCGGGCGGGGCCCUCACGGGGUGGUAAUAGAGUGCAGGAUGAACAAUGGACGAUCCGCAGCGAAGACCCUACCGGCGAGAGCCCACGGGUACCGUUCACAGACUAAGUGAUUGUGGGCGGGGCGUCAGGCCCCGUCUAAGAUAUAGUCGGUCUCUGCUCGAAAGGGUAGAGCCUAGCGCGUCCGUAGGUGAACCUGCGGAAGGAUCAUUAAAGAAUCGCCCCGUUUUUUGAAAUGGGUUCUAUUCCCAAACCGUGUAUACAUACCUUUGUUGCUUUGGCAGGCCGCCUUUUAGGCGUCGGCUCCGGCUGACUGCGCCUGCCAGAGGACCCAAACUCUUUUGUUUAGUGAUGUCUGAGUACUAUAUAAUAGUUAAAACUUUCAACAACGGAUCUCUUGGUUCUGGCAUCGAUGAAGAACGCAGCGAAAUGCGAUAAGUAAUGUGAAUUGCAGAAUUCAGUGAAUCAUCGAAUCUUUGAACGCACAUUGCGCCCCUUGGUAUUCCGAGGGGCAUGCCUGUUCGAGCGUCAUUAUAACCACUCAAGCCUCGGCUUGGUCUUGGGGUUCGCGGUCUCGCGGCUCUUAAAAUCAGUGGCGGUGCCGUCUGGCUCUAAGCGUAGUAAUUUUCUCGCUAUAGGGUCUAAGCGACCACCUGCCAUAACCCCCCAUUCUUUACGGUUGACCUCGGAUCAGGUAGGGAUACCCGCUGAACUUAA